GGUUCCUGUCCAACGUUAAUCGGGGCAGGGUGAGUCGACCCCUAAGGCGAGGCCGAAAGGCGUAGUCGAUGGGAAACAGGUUAAUAUUCCUGUACUUGGUGUUACUGCGAAGGGGGGACGGAGAAGGCUAUGUUGGCCGGGCGACGGUUGUCCCGGUUUAAGCGUGUAGGCUGGUUUUCCAGGCAAAUCCGGAAAAUCAAGGCUGAGGCGUGAUGACGAGGCACUACGGUGCUGAAGCAACAAAUGCCCUGCUUCCAGGAAAAGCCUCUAAGCAUCAGGUAACAUCAAAUCGUACCCCAAACCGACACAGGUGGUCAGGUAGAGAAUACCAAGGCGCUUGAGAGAACUCGGGUGAAGGAACUAGGCAAAAUGGUGCCGUAACUUCGGGAGAAGGCACGCUGAUAUGUAGGUGAAGUCCCUCGCGGAUGGAGCUGAAA
rnacentral:rRNA from 1 species